rnacentral:rRNA from 1 species
CACGUAGGAGGCGAGCGUUGUCCGGAAUCAUUGGGCGUAAAGAGCGCGCAGGCGGCUUGGCAAGUCGGGUGUGAAAUCCCGGGGCUCAACCCCGUGACUGCAUCCGAUACUGUCAGGCUAGAGGUAGGUAGGGGAGAUCGGAAUUCCUGGUGUAGCGGUGAAAUGCGCAGAUAUCAGGAGGAACACCAAUUGCGAAGGCAGCUCGCUGGGACGUUACUGACGCUGAGACGCGAAAGCGUGGGGAGCAAACAGG